rnacentral:lncRNA from 1 species
AAAGCCUAAAUCCCAUAAGACCCUCUUGGCUGAACUGAUUACAGUUUACUACAGCAAAAAGGGGGGAUAAAGAGAGGAUACAAGAACUUUUUUCGGCUCCUCCAUAGUUCAUGGAUAAUCUCGAAAUGUUUCAUGCAGACGGCUCUGCGCAGUAUUUGGGCUGUAAAAACAUCGUGUCAGACAGUUUGGAAGACGUUGUAAACAACCUAAAUGUCCGUCAAAAGAAAAUAAGUAGAUAAGAAAGCUGAGGUCACAAAAAGGAAAGUGACUGGUCCAAGUUGAAAUUGAUCGUAAUUAGCAGAGCUAGAAGUUGAAACCAGUUCUGUUUUAUUAUAAAUCCACACCACACUUUGGAUCACACAUCAUCAGUGGCCCAAACUCUCAGCUCUUGCAAAUAAAAAUAAAUCAACAGUU